UACGGAGGAUGCAAGCGUUAUCCGGAUUCAUUGGGUUUAAAGGGUGCGCAGGCGGAUUGGUAAGUCAGUGGUGAAAUUCAACAGCUUAACUGUUGGGCUGCCAUUGAUACUGUCGAUCUAGAGUAUAGUUGGAGUGGGCGGAAUGUGUCAUGUAGCGGUGAAAUGCUUAGAUAUGACACAGAACACCGAUCGCGAAGGCAGCUCACUAAGCUAAAACUGACGCUCAUGCACGAAAGCGUGGGGAU
rnacentral:rRNA from 1 species